rnacentral:rRNA from 1 species
UACGAGGGGGGCGAGCGUUGUUCGGAAUUAUGGGGCGUAAAGGGUGCGUAGGCGGUUUGGUAAGUCUGAUGUGAAAUCUAUGGGCUCAACUCAUAGACUGCAUGAGAAACUGCCGGGCUUGAGUAUGGGAGAGGUGAGUGGAAUUCCUGGUGUAGCGGUGAAAUGCGUAGAUAUCAGGAGGAACACCUGUGGCGAAAGCGGCUCUCUGGAACGCAACUGACGCUGAGACGCGAAAGCGUGGGGAGCAAACAGG